rnacentral:rRNA from 1 species
GUGAACGCUGGCGGUAGGCCUAACCCCUGCAAGUCGAACGGCAGCACAGUAAGAGCUUGCUCUUACGGGUGGCGAGUGGCGGACGGGUGAGGAAUACAUCGGAAUCUACUUUUUCGUGGGGGAUAACGUAGGGAAACUUACGCUAAUACCGCAUACGACCUACGGGUGAAAGCAGGGGAUCUUCGGACCUUGCGCGAUUGAAUGAGCCGAUGUCGGAUUAGCUAGUUGGCGGGGUAAAGGCCCACCAAGGCGACGAUCCGUAGCUGGUCUGAGAGGAUGAUCAGCCACACUGGAACUGAGACACGGUCCAGACUCCUACGGGAGGCAGCAGUGGGGAAUAUUGGACAAUGGGCGCAAGCCUGAUCCAGCCAUACCGCGUGGGUGAAGAAGGCCUUCGGGUUGUAAAGCUCUUUUGUUGGGAAAGAAAAGCAGCAGGUUAAUACCCCGCUGUUCUGACGGUACCCAAAGAAUAAGCACCGGCUAACUUCGUG